UACAGAGGUGGCAAGCGUUUGUUCGGAAUUACUGGGCGUAAAGGGCGCGUAGGCGGCCUGUUAAGUCGAACGUGAAAUCCCCCGGGCUCAACCCGGGAACUGCGUCCGAUACUGGCAGGCUUGAAUCCGGGAGAGGGAUGCGGAAUUCCAGGUGUAGCGGUGAAAUGCGUAGAUAUCUGGAGGAACACCGGUGGCGAAGGCGGCAUCCUGGACCGGCAUUGACGCUGAGGCGCGAAAGCGUGGGGAGCAAACAGG
rnacentral:rRNA from 1 species